AACGAACGCUGGCGGCAUGCCUAACACAUGCAAGUCGAACGAGACCUUCGGGUCUAGUGGCGCACGGGUGCGCAACGCGUGGGAAUCUGCCCUUGGGUUCGGAAUAACUCGCCGAAAGGCGUGCUAAUACCGGAUGAUGUCGUAAGACCAAAGAUUUAUCGCCCAGGGAUGAGCCCGCGUAAGAUUAGGUAGUUGGUGAGGUAAAGGCUCACCAAGCCGACGAUCUUUAGCUGGUCUGAGAGGAUGAUCAGCCACACUGGGACUGAGACACGGCCCAG
rnacentral:rRNA from 1 species